rnacentral:rRNA from 1 species
GACUUAUAUAAGGUCCCUGCCCACUGAAGUUUUUUUAAAGGCCGCGGUAUAUUAACUGUGCAAAGGCAUAAUAAUUUUUUUAAUUGAAGACUUGAAUGAAUGGUUGAACAAAGAAAAAUCUGUCUUUAUUUUCUUUGAAUUUUACAUUUAAGUGAAAAGGCUUUAAGGGACGAUAAGACCCUAAUCUUUACAUUUAUUUAUUUAUUAGUUAAGUUGAUUUAUUAUAUUAAAAUAUGUUAUAUUGGGGUGAUAGAGAUAAAAACUGUCUUAAUAAAAAACAUAAAUAAUUGAAUUAAUAAAAGAUCCUUUAUAAAGAUUAAAAGUUUAAGUUACUUUAGGGAUAACAGCGUAAUUUUUUUUGAGAGUUCAUAUCGAAAAGAAAGUUUGCGACCUCGAUGUUGAAUUAAAAUUUCUUUAUGAUGCAGAAGUCAUAAAAGAGUCUGUUCGACU